rnacentral:lncRNA from 1 species
AUAUUUUGUAUUAUUCAACUUGAAGUAAAAAAAUAGUGAUGACUAUUCAUACUACACUGAUUAUUUUGGAGACACUAACUGACUAAAAAUAUAGUAAUUCAAGGUGAGUUUAAAAAGAGAAGCAGAAAGCCUAGAGUCCUGGAGUUCUAGAUCAGUGUUUCCCAAAAUGUCCUCAGUGGAAUUCUAGCCUCCCAGAUGGUCUAAGGAAAGAAAAAAAAGAGAGUUAUAUGAUCAAAUAUAAGUUUUUGAAAAGGAUGUAUAACUUCACAAUGCAUAUUGGUCAGGAAAGCAUUUUGUUGUUUCUCAACCAACAUUUCUCAAACUUAAUGAAGACUAAACUGUUUUUUGUUAAAUACAUUACCUAUUAACAUCAUGUUGACCUAAGAAUUCUGAGGAAGAAUUUCCUAAGUAUGUCAGGGGAAAAAAUGCAAAAUAUAUUAACCAGUAUUAUUAUUAACUGAGCAAAUGAAUGAAUCAACAAAUGAUGCCACAUGAUUGUCACUUUUUCAUAGCUGUGAACAAGCUGGACAUAGUCCCUGUCACCCUGUCAUGUUUUAGAGUAAUUCUGUAGUAUGUACACAUA